AAUGAUUAAACCUUAACCCUCGGGCCCUUAAGAGUCCCAAACGAGAGUGAGAGGAGAUCUGAGAAAAUGAGAGAUGACAAACACAGAGGUGGUCUGGAAACCCUAACAAUGGCAUUGGCUCUGUGAUAGGAGCCUUCGCUGGAGAUCAGAGACAUGAGCGUGAAGAAAGAGAGAGACGACACGACGGGGCAUGAAGAAAAGCUCCUCCAAUGCGAUUCUUGUUUUGCGAGGUUUAACGCCUCGAUGGCCGCCAUUGAUCCACGAUCGGAUCCGUUCAAGAUCUUACCGUUGAAAUCGCGUAGUAAUUAACUCACCAAGACCAGAGAUCUGAUGGGGCUAGGUACACUCCCUGGCAGCUUGCUCAAGAUGCGAUAGGGUGCGAUGUGGAUUAAUAGAGGCACUGACAGCGGGCCUUCCAUAUCUUUAAGGUUUUACCCCUUACUCUUUUAAGCAUGUGGAUGUAUGUUUUUCUUUUGUAAAAUGUCAUCUUUGGUUUUUAAAUGGAAACAAAAUGAGCAAAAUAAGUUUCCAGAGUCAAUUAGCAUACUAUUGUUGAAAACUUGAACGAUAUAUCUGACAAAAACAAAAUUGGCACACA